CUAAACUAAGGAACAGAGUUUACUUUUAAGGGGGGAUUUGUGAGUUUAUGCAACUUUACACAAGUGUGUACAUAAUAUAUAUGUAUUAUAUUAUAUAUAUAUUAUAUAUAAAAGAGUGUCAGUGUUUUGGCCAGAUGGAAAGAAUAAUGCCUUGGAAGAUUAGCUCCUGAUAAGAAAGUCAGUAGAGACUCAUUUGCUUUCUUUGAGAUCACAAUGUGUUACUCUGCAUUAAGUCAGUCUUUCAAAACUAGCCCGCAGAUACAAGUCUAGGUAGUUUAUUAAUAGAUCUGUUUGAAAAAAUGCUGAUUCAGUAUCAUCAAAACAUUCUGUGGGAACAAGUUCAUUUUUCUUAGUUACUCUUGACAGAAACUAGGCAGGUUUCCAUGGAAACUUGCCUACUUCACCACCAAUUUGCCUGUCUGGAGCCAGAUUUCCAGCCAUGGGAUGAGUCUAAGCUGCUUGGCUCCUAGGGCUGUCAGGGUUCAGAGAACUUGAGGAAAGUCAUCUUGAGUUUGUUUUGAAGAGCGAAAGCAAAAAUAUUGCUUCAAUUUCUGUAAACAACAUUUAAGGAUUCUUGUCAGAAGAGAUGUUGAAGUCUUUUUCCAGUGUGCAAACAUUUUUCCCCCUCUCAGAUUUUCACUCAGAAGAGGAAGUUUGUGCUAUGACCACUAGUUUCUUGAAAAGCUGCCAUGUAUCAUACUUCAGUGCAAGGUACUACAUGAGUAUAAGAAACAGUCAUGUUGAAGAAGAAACUGUCAGUAUGAAGAUGAAACAGUCUUCUUCUGGAGAAUUUAGUGAUCUAGUACAGACUUGAAAAAUGAUUCAGUGAAAAAACUUACUGACUUCACCAUAUGUUUGCAGAAUUACUAAACAAGCAUCACAGACAGCAAAAAUAAAUAAAUAAAUAAACAUACCUAUUUUUGAGAG
rnacentral:lncRNA from 1 species